UACGAAGGGGGCUAGCGUUGUUCGGAUUUACUGGGCGUAAAGCGCACGUAGGCGGAUCGUUAAGUCGGGGGUGGAAUCCUGGAGCUCAACUCCAGAACUGCCUUCGAUACUGGCGAUCUUGAGUCCGGAAGAGGUGAGUGGAACUCCUAGUGUAGAGGUGGAAUUCGUAGAUAUUAGGAAGAACACCAGUGGCGAAGGCGGCUCACUGGUCCGGUACUGACGCUGAGGUGCGAAAGCGUGGGGAGCAAACAGG
rnacentral:rRNA from 1 species